GAUGAACGCUAGCGGGAGGCCUAACACAUGCAAGCCGAGCGGUAUUGUUUCUUCGGAAAUGAGAGAGCGGCGUACGGGUGCGGAACACGUGUGCAACCUGCCUUUAUCUGGGGGAUAGCCUUUCGAAAGGAAGAUUAAUACUCCAUAAUAUAUUGAUUGGCAUCAAUUAAUAUUGAAAGCUCCGGCGGAUAGAGAUGGGCACGCGUAAGAUUAGCUAGUUGGUGAGGUAACGGCUCACCAAGGCGAUGAUCUUUAGGGGGCCUGAGAGGGUGAUCCCCCACACUGGUACUGAGACGCGGACCAGACUCCUACGGGAGGCAGCAGUGAGGAAUAUUGGUCAAUGGGUGCAAGCCUGAACCAGCCAUCCCGCGUGAAGGACGACUGCCCUAUGGGUUGUAAACUUCUUUUGUAUAGGGAUAAACCUACCCUCGUGAGGGUAGCUGAAGGUACUAUACGAAUAAGCACCGGCUAACUCCGUGCCAGCAGCCGCGGUAAUACGGAGGGUGCAAGCGUUAUCCGGAUUUAUUGGGUUUAAAGGGUCCGUAGGCGGACUUAUAAGUCAGUGGUGAAAGCCUGUCGCUUAACGAUAGAACUGCCAUUGAUACUGUAAGUCUUGAGUAUAUUUGAGGUAGCUGGAAUAAGUAGUGUAGCGGUGAAAUGCAUAGAUAUUACUUAGAACACCAAUUGCGAAGGCAGGUUACCAAGAUAUAACUGACGCUGAGGGACGAAAGCGUGGGGAGCGAACAGGAUUAGACACCCUGGUAGUCCACGCCGUAAACGAUGCUAACUCGUUUUUGGGCUUUAGGGUUCAGAGACCAAGCGAAAGUGAUAAGUUAGCCACCUGGGGAGUACGCUCGCAAGAGUGAAACUCAAAGGAAUUGACGGGGGCCCGCACAAGCGGUGGAUUAUGUGGUUUAAUUCGAUGAUACGCGAGGAACCUUACCAAGACUUAAAUGGGAAUUGACAGCUUUAGAAAUAGAGCUUUCUUCGGACAAUUUUCAAGGUGCUGCAUGGUUGUCGUCAGCUCGUGCCGUGAGGUGUUAGGUUAAGUCCUGCAACGAGCGCAACCCCUGUCACUAGUUGCCAUCAUUCAGUUGGGGACUCUAGUGAGACUGCCUACGCAAGUAGAGAGGAAGGUGGGGAUGACGUCAAAUCAUCACGGCCCUUACGUCUUGGGCCACACACGUAAUACAAUGGCCGGUACAGAGGGCAGCUACACAGCGAUGUGAUGCAAAUCUCGAAAGCCGGUCUCAGUUCGGAUUGGAGUCUGCAACUCGACUCUAUGAAGCUGGAAUCGCUAGUAAUCGCGCAUCAGCCAUGGCGCGGUGAAUACGUUCCCGGGCCU
rnacentral:rRNA from 1 species